UUAUUUUUUUUUUUAAGAUUUAAAUAGCAUAUGAUCCGACCUCAAAACCAUCAAAAUAUUAGUCGAGUAAGAUACCUACCUAACCCUCCUGCCUAAACCAUCGAUGCUGAUUCAAUCUGGUAAACAGGGCCUGAAAAUUAACAACGUCGUUCCACUUAUUCAAAAGGAUGGGAUCAAAAUUUCUAAGUUAUUAUGAACUUUUGGAAGAAAGAAAAAAUGGAAGAGGUAACCCCCAACGUAUAAGGUAAAAUUAAUGAUCUUCCACUCCGAAUCAAAACCCUAGGGACACGUUAUCUGGUAAACAGGGCCUGAAAUUUAACAACAACGUUCCACUUAUUCGAAAGGAUGGGGAUCGAAUUUCUAAAUUAUUAUGUUAUAUAAACUUUAGAAAGAAAGAAAACGGAAGAGGUAACCGAUGUGGUGCAAACGCAUAGGUAAAAUUGAUGAUCUUUCCCUCCGAAUCGAAACAAAAGCUAAACCAGUUACUGGAUCCAGACCACCCUGGGACAGGAAAUCAAAAAACCGCAAAAGCAGAUCAAGAAGAUAAAACGAGACCUCAAUCCAACUAAUUGGAAAUCAUACCAACAUCACAAAUUCUUGUCCGGGAGACCGCGAUCGGUAUAAAAAUCCCAACAAUUCACAACCUUUAAACGUAUUAACUUGGUAGAAAAAAGGCCAUCGCCAACAUUCCAGCCAAACGCUAAAAACACACCAAUAACACUACAACGCAGAAUUAAUCAAUCCCAAAAAGUAAGUCGAAAGGCGGAGAACUUAAAUAUUUAAAGGGAAUUCAACCUUCAAUCAUCGUCAGAUGACUGGGAUCGAAAAAUUUUAACCUGGAAAGAGAAAUCGUCAUCGCCAGGAAUCCAGCCAACCCUAAAAUCACAACCAUAACGAAACGCAAUCCAUAAAAAUCAACAAACCCAAACGGAGGAAUCGAGCCGAAAUCGAAAUCUAAAAACGCAGAUUCAACACCAGCACAGAGCGAUGAAACCUGAUCGCUGACGCCACACCGAUCAAGGGCGCCAUCCGAACAAGCGAGUUGGGAGGAUGCCUAAGGGGGUAUUUAUAGGUAUAGUGAGUGAAUACGAACGGCUGAGAUUAAACCGUGAUGGAAACAAUGGACGGUGGAUAUUAAGGUAGAAGGGGUAAGUGAUUCGCUGUCAAC
rnacentral:lncRNA from 1 species